GCUGUUGCAAAUAUGUUUCCUGUAUGAAGCAGACUUUGCUUCGUCUGCUGAGACACCUGAGCUGCAAAACACAUUUUGAAGAGGGGACAUUUGUCUCUGCCUUUGACCCAUCCCUCAGGCAGCAGUAUGCUCCCAACAUUGAGUGACGCACAAGGAACAAUCUGUGAUCAAGGGUCUUGCUCAAGUACCUGGAGUGACGGACUCCGCCAACUAUUGGGGCCUCACCACGACACAAACACCUGGCUCUCUAACCACCUGGCCACCACUUCCAUGUCAGGUGUUUUUCCUGUCGAGGAAUCAACCUCUUGUCUCCUGUGGAACUGGUCGGGAUACUCACCACCAUAAUAAUAAGGAGAAC